CCGAUAUGCCAUCUUCUCAUUUCUCUCCUGCAACUUAGUGUUACAGGAGUCAAUCUGUUCAACACGGUGCUGUUGCUAUGGUACCCGUUACACCGGCAUGGAUGCUUUACUUAUCCUGCCUCCAAUCCUCAGGAUGCCCUCAUCCAAGAUCGGAUCAAGUUUGGAUAUGGUGCUGUCUGCUUUGACUGGCAUGCCUUUCCUUAUGAGAGUGAGCUCAGAAUCAAAGUAACACUGCUGUACAUAGCAAAUAAUCGCCUUUUCUGCUUCAUCCAAAUCAUCCACAGUCAGAAUUUGGUGCUCACCUUCCAUUUUGGAUGUCGAGAUAAGCCCUUUACUUUUCUGACUUUUGAGCUUCAGCAGCCAGGCAACAGUCCUUUGAAGUUUCUUCCAUGAAGAGAAAUACUGAAUGAAGUAAGUAGUUGCAUGUUUGAAGCUUUAAGCAAUUUGCAGUAAUGUCUUUCUUUACCUCAGGAUCACUGUGGAGUAUGUGUCCAAUGUCCUCCGGUGCAUCAGGUCAUUCAGAUUCCUGCCUUGAAAGGAAGUGAGGGCCAUAGAACCAUCUAAGGGACUUCAAGAGCGGUUCGAUGUACAAUCCGCGAGAGGCAUCAUCUGCUGGAUUAUCCCUAGAACGGACAUAUCUCCACUGAUGUACCUGGGAGAGGCUAUGGAUCACUGCAAUCCUGUUGGCAAUAGGAUGCAAGCAUUCAGCAGGUGCAUUUGGCUAUGUCUGUGCAAGAGAAGAGUGAAAAAGUACUCCAUGGAAGCAACUUCUGAAAUGUGUGAAGUCUACAAUGCAUACAUAUUUUGCCAUGCCUGAUGGGAUCAAUAAAACAGUGGUCAUCUUAUCUGUGAACACUGUUAAAAAAAAAAAAAACUUCUCUGGAAGGAACCCAAAACAUUCCAAACAUCAGUGUAGCAAGAAUGCACCUGUUGUCCUAUAUCUGAACCUUCCUUCAUUCAUUUCCCUGGGACCACACUGCCAGAAGCUUCCCAAACCCAUUCUUCCAGACAGAGAGCAGCCAUCUUCAGAAGUAAGAAACAAGUCAGAGAGUGAAGAUGUCAUAGAUCCAGAUUACAAUUUCAGAUGUGGAGCUGAGGACAGAAACCCAUAGUACCCCAACCAAAAAUACCUUGAUUGCUUUUCCCAACCAAGUCCAAUGUGGACCUUUUAAAAUCUAGGUUCAAGCAGUCAAACUUUUUUGGAUGGAUGUGUCCAAGUCACAGGUCUUUUGCACAAGACAAAUCACAAGACUCCUCACCAAGCUUUUCCCAUCUUCUUUACCCAUCAAGAUGGGCUCUGCUUCUGUCACAGUGUGGCUAGUAUGUUUGAGGCAAUCAGAAUUGCUUGUAGCCUGAAUGAGUGGUGCAUCUUCACUGACAGCUCAUCCAGGAGCCUCAAAGCUGUGCUGCUCCAUAAUGGGAACAAGUAUUCAUCUCUUUCCCUGGCUCACUCAGUGUAUCUCAAAGAGGAUAACAAAUCCAUCAAGAAAUUGUCUUGAAGUAUGAUGAAUACAACUUAAAAUGGUGACAUUCCUGAUGGGUCUACAAGGAGACUUUAUCAAGUUUCCCUGCUAUUUUGUCUUUGGGACAUCAAGGUACAGUAUCAAAAGGGGGACUGUUCACUGUGGUGAUCUCGGUCUGCUGUGGGGACCUCUGGAAAGAUGCUGAUGCCACCACUGCACAUCAAAUUUAGCCUAAUUUAUCAGAGCAGGAGGAUUCACAUAAGGAGUCAGCAGCAUUCACAUACAUUCAAAACUUUUCUUAAGCUGUCUGUGGCAAAUGUCAAAGCUGGUGUCUUCAUGGGUCCACAGAUGGAGAAAAUUCUGGGGUGCAAGGAAUUCUCCAAGAAGCUCCUGAGGAAGGAGAAGGAAGCUUCAAACAGCUUUGUUGCAAUGGUUCAGGGCUUCCUGGGCAAUCACAAAGCCAAAAAGUAUGUGGAGUUUGUUGUGACUCAGGUGAAGGACUAUCACACAAUGGACUGUAGGAUGUCUCUCAAAGUCCAUAUCCUUUAUGGUCAUCUUGAUAAAUUCAAGGAGAACAUGGGAACAUACUCAGAGGAGUAAGGCAAGAGCUUCCAUCAGGAUAUAUUGAACUCGGAAUGCCACUGUCAAGGACAGCAUAAUGAGAACAUGAUGGGAGACUAUAUUUGAGGGCUGCAUUAUGAAAGUGAUUUGCAAUAUAAUCAUAAAUCUUGAAAAUCUUCUAACAUUGUCACAAUUUAUGUACUUCCAUGUAAUAUACUUCCAUGUAGUACACUUCCAUGUAGUACACUGUACUUGCAUAGUGUGUGAAUUUCAACAGGGUAGUGUUGUCUCACAUUGAACAUGGCAUGUUGUGCACUUACCAGAAAUUGCCAUUACACCCAUCAAAAAUGACAAUCACAAUAUUUGACAGCAUGACAGUGUGGUGUCAAAUAUUGUUACCAAAAUUUAUGCUGGCUUUUCGCUCACCUCUUAAAAAUUAACUUUUUUAUUUUCAUUUUCCUUGCUUGUGUAUGCCCCCCUGUUUCAUGCCACAUGGAAAUUGUCAUCACUGGUAUCGACAAUGUUUCCUCCUCCAACUGGCUGGAAACAUACUGGCAUGUUGAAUUAUGUAUUGUUUUUAUUGCGAUCUAUGGAGUUCAUAGACUAGACUAUUGAGGUGCAGCAUUACAUUUUCAUCAAACUUACCUAUUUAAACAGUCAUCUAAAAGUAGUAAUUGUCUGUGCUCGAGCUACACUGACUAACAUAAAAGCACAACUAUCUGAUACUAACUUGCUGUAGUCAUGUAGAUUGGAAAUGCAAAAGAAAACAUACAGUAUAACCCACAGCUUGCUGUUAUGUAGAAUUAAGCACACUUAAUAUCCAAAAUCACCAUUAUAAAUCACAAUUGACUGUGUUCUAAUGGUCACAAACAUACAGUGACAAUAUGGGCAAAUGGGUCAGUGGCUGGGCAAAAAGGUCAGUCGAUGAUGGAGUCAAAAUGGGACUGCAUGGCAUCCUGCAACAUCUUGACUGCCCAGGUACCUAUGCAAGAAUCCUGUUCUUAGACAUCAGCUCAGCAUUCAACACCAUAACCACACAAAUCCUUUCCACCAAACUCUGCUAGCUCAUUGUCUCAUUUGCCAUAUGUCACAGUAUCGCCAGCUUCCUGACAGGAAGGGAACAACAAAUAAGGUUGGAGAAGUCACAUCCAGUAUGCAGUCAAUCAGCACUGCUGCUCCUCAGGAAUGUGCCCACUUUCCACUGCUCUUCUUCUUUUACACCAAUGACUCCACCUCCAUGGACCCAAAUGUGAAACUCCUGAAAUUUGCAGAUGACACUACAGUCAUAGGACUCAUCCAAGAUGGCAGUGAGUCUGCAUACAGAUGGGAGGUUGAAUGGUUGGUGCUCUUGUCCAGUCAGAAUAACUUGGAGCUAAACAUGCUUAAGAUGUUGGAGAUGAUCAUGGACUUCAGAAGACACCCCACUAUAAUACUCCAUUCACUAUAUCCAACAGUCUUUGUUGGCAGCACUGACUGCCAGAUCCAUUUGAAGCCACCAAGAGAGGAUGCAGCCUUUUACCUACAGUGGUGCUUGAAAGAUUGUGAACCCUUUAGAAUUUUAUAUAUUUCUGCAUAAAUGAGCUAAAACAUUCAUCAGAUUUUCACACAAGUCCGAAAAGUACAUAAA